rnacentral:rRNA from 1 species
AGAGUUUGAUCCUGGCUCAGGAUGAACGCUGGCGGCGUGCCUAAUACAUGCAAGUCGAGCGAACGUCAUAGAAGCUUGCUUCUAUGACGUUAGCGGCGGACGGGUGAGUAACACGUGGGCAACCUGCCUGUAAGACUGGGAUAACUUCGGGAAACCGAAGCUAAUACCGGAUAGGAUCUUCUCCUUCAUGGGAGAUGAUUGAAAGAUAGUUUCGGCUAUCACUUACAGAUGGGCCCGCGGUGCAUUAGCUAGUUGGUGAGGUAACGGCUCACCAAGGCAACGAUGCAUAGCCGACCUGAGAGGGUGAUCGGCCACACUGGAACUGAGACACGGCCCAGACUCCUACGGGAGGCAGCAGUAGGGAAUCUUCCGCAAUGGACGAAAGUCUGACGGAGCAACGCCGCGUGAGUGAUGAAGGCUUUCGGGUCGUAAAACUCUGUUGUUAGGGAAGAACAAGUACGAGAGUAACUGCCGGUACCUUGACGGUACCUGACCAGAAAGCCACGGCUAACUACGUGCCAGCAGCCACGGUAAUACGUAGGUGGCAAGCGUUGUCCGGAAUUAUUGGGCGUAAAGCGCGCGCAGGCGGUUCCUUAAGUCUGAUGUGAAAGCCCCCGGCUCAACCGGGGAGGGUCAUUG